UGAUUUUUAAAGAACUCCUCCUACAAGUCAAAAAGACCAGAAAAGGAGCAAUGAAUAAGCAGAAACAACUAAUUGAAGAGGGAAUACAAAUGACCAUUAAACAGAUGAAACAAUGCUGAAACACACUCACAAAGAUGCAAAUCCAAAACUACACUAAGAUACCAUUUUUCAUCUAUUAGAUUGGCCAAAGAAAUAUUUACUAAAAUUACUAGGGUGUGACAAAACAGCAUCUCAUAUUGCUGAAGAGAAUGAAAGGUGGCAAAAUGUAUAUAAAGGACAAAUGGACAAUACCUAUCAAAAUUACAAAUGCCAUUUUACGUUGAAUUUCCCAUAGCCAUUUAUCCUACAGAUAUUCUUGGAAAUUUGUAAAUUUAGUUCAUGUUGCAAGGAUAUUCAUUACAGCAAUGUUAAUAAAAGCAAAAAACUGGAAAUCGUGGAUUAGAAAAAGAAUGCUGUGGUGGUAUUACUUUCACAAUCAGAUAAAAACAUUGACAUACAAAAGGUAUGAAUCCUUUAUAUGGGAACAUAACAAUUUCAUAAGUUAUUCAAAAGUACUUUGAAAAUUAAGUGCUAAAGCAACUCCAGUCUAUUCUGAAUGGUAGAAAUAAAACCUUUCUUAGGCACUUUACAUCCUUGAUUUAGCAGUGAGGGAUCAGUUAUUGUCGUGGUGGUUGUUAUGUGCCAGCUCUUAACUCUGGCUCUUAAGGCUCUGUGGAAGCAGAAGAUAAAAGCUAAGGUAGAGUUUUAAACUUCGUGGUUUAGUAUUGAAGGCAAACCUCUUGGCAAAGACUGGGCUAUUUUGUGGCUCCAGGACUUUAAGGAAAUCUCUGUCCAGUCAUUAGCUAACUACUAACCUAAUGGAAUAGAUAUUUCAGCGGUCACACAUGACAAAAGAUACAUACUUUCCAAAAUUAGUUCAGAAAAAUCAUUAAACAACAACGACAAUAAUCAGCAACAUCAACAAACCUAGCUGGGGGACUGGAAGGGAGAGAAAUUGAUUUCCAGAGUUUCCCCAUUAUAAGAUUCACAGUGCUCAGUUUUCAACGAAAAAAUUACAAUGCAUGCAAAGAAACAAAAAAAGUAUCUCGGAGAAAACUCAGACAUUGGACUAUCUAAACAAAACCUCUAAAUUAGCUAUUGUAAACAUGUUCAAAGAGCUGAAGGAAACCAUGAAUAAAGAACUAAAGGAAAGGAUGAGACUGAUGGCUCAUGAAAUAGAGAAUAUAAAUAAAGAAGUUACAAAAAGGAACCAAAUAGAAAUUCUGGAAUUGAAAAGUACAAUAAGUGAUAUGAAAAAUUCAUUAGAAGGUCUCAACAGCAGGUCAGAUUUGAGCAAGCAGAAGAAAGAAUCAGUGAACUUCACAAUUGAAAUUACCAAGUCCCAGAAAAAGAAAGAAAAAAGAAUGAAGAAAAGUGAACAGAACCUCAGAGACCUGUGGAACAUCAUAAAAUGUACUGACAAUAUAAGAGAGGUCCCAGAAGGAGACUAGACAGAAAAGGGCAAAAAAGAAUAUUUGAAGAAAUAAUGGUCCAAACUUCCCAAAUUUGUUGACAAACAUUUAUCUGUAGAGCUCAAUGAACUCUAAGUAGAAUAAACUCAAACUCCAUACCUAGACACAUCAUAAUCAAACUGUCCAAAGCCAAAAACAAAGAGAAUCUUGAAAGCAGCAAGAGAGAAAUGAUACAUCAUGUGUAAGAGAUGCUCAAUAAGAUAAACAGUGGUUUCUUAUUAGAAACUAUGGAGACCAGAAGGCAAUGGGAUGACAUGUUCAAACUUUCAACUAAGAAAUCUAUAUCUGACCAAACUAUCCUUUGAAAAUGAAGGUGACAUUAACACUUUCCCAGAUCAACAAAAACUAUGAGAGUUUGUCACUAGCAGACCUCUCCCAGAACAACUGCUAAAGUUACGUUUGUUGGAGUCAUUCAGGCUGAAAUAAAAAGACAUUACACAGUAAUUCAAAUCCACAUGAAGAAAUAAAGAACACCGAUAGAGAUAACUAACUACCUAGGUAAAUAUAAAAGACAGUAUAAAUGUGUUUUUGUUUGUAAUUCAUUUUUUCUACCUGACUUAAAAGACAAUUGCAUAAAUCAAUAAUUAUAAAUCUGUGAUAACAGGCACACAAUGGAUAAAGAUGUGAUUUCUGAUAACAGCAUGAAGGUGGAGGAUGGAGAUACACAGGAACAAUGUUUUUAUAUAUUAUUGAAAUUAAGUUGACAUUGUUCUAAACUAAAGGAGAAAUACAAAAUCUUACUACAAGAGACUGAUUUAGUAAUCAAACAAAUGCCAAAAAAGAAAAGUGUAGGACCAGAGGGCUUUACUGAUAAAUUCUACCAAGUACAUAAAGAAGAAUUAAUGCCUACCUUUCACUAACUCUUUCAAAAAACAGAAAGAGGGGACUUCCCUGGCGGUCCAGUGUUUAGACCUGUCGGUCCAGGGUUAAGACUCUGCGCUCCCAAUGCAGGGCGCUCGGGUUCAAUUCCUGGUCAGGGAACUAAGAUCCUUCAUGAUGCACAGUACAGCCAAAAAAAAAAAAAAAAGCAUACACGUCUCAGCCAAUAAAUAAAUAAAUAAAACAUCAUGAUAUUAAAAAAAAAAAAAAAACAGAGAAAGACGGAACACUUCCUAACUCAUUCUAUGAGACCAGUAUUACCCCAAUGCCAAUGGCAGGAAAAAGCAUCACAGGAAGUGAAAACUACAGACCAAUCUCCCUUGUGAGUAUAGAUGCAAAAAUCUUCAAAAAAUUCUAGCAAACUAAUUCCAGCAGCAUUAAAAAUAAUUAUAUACCAUUACAAGUGGAAUUUUUCUCAGGAAUGCAAGAUUGGUCCAACCUGCAAAAAUAAUCAAAGUAACAUCAUAUUAAUAGAAUAAAGGAAAGAAAACACAUGACCAUUUCAAUAUAUGCAGAAAAAGCAUAUGACAAAAUCCAAUACUAUUUCUUGAUGAAAACACACAACAAACUAGGAAUAGAAGGGAACUUUCUCAAAAUGAUAAAAGCCAACUAUUGAAAACCCACAGCAAACAUCAUGAUUAAUGAUGAAAAACUAAAAGCUUUCAGGAACAAGAUAAGUAUGUCUGCUUUUGCCACUUCAUUCAACAUUGUACUGGAGGUUCUAGCCAGGGAAAUUAGUCAAAAAAAAAAAAAAAAGAAUUAAAAGACAUCUAGAUUGGAAAGUAAGAGAUAAAAUUAUCUCUAUUUGGAGAAAACAUGAUAUUAUAUACAGAAAACCCUAAAGAAUUCACUAAAACAAUAGUAGCUUUAGUUUUAAAUAAACUAGCUCUGCAAAGUGUCAGUGUUCAAGAUCAGUGUACAAUAUACAAAAAUUAGUUAUAUUUCUAUACCACAGCAAUGAGCAAUCUGAAAAUGAAAUUAACAAAGCAGUUCCCUUCACAAUACAUCAAAAAGAAUAAAAUACUUAGGAAUAAAUUUAAUCAAGGAAAUAUAAGAUUUGUACACUAAAAACCACAAAAUAUUAUUUUAAAAAAUGAAAGAUCUAAAUAAAUAGAAAGACAUCCUGUGUUCAUGGACUGAAAGACUUAAUAUUGUUAAAAUGACAGUAACCCCCCAAAAUUAUCUACGGAUUAAAUGCAAGCCCUGUGAAAUGUCCAAUUGCCUUUUUUGCAGAAAAGGAUAAGCUGAUCCUAAAAUUCAUAUGGAAGUGCAAGAGACAUCUGAUCCUAAAAUUCAUAUGGAAAUGCAAAAGACAUCAAAUAGCCAAAACAAUCUUGAAGGAGAAAAAAGUGGGAGGGCUUACACCUUCUGAUUUCAAAACUCACUCCACAGCUACAGCAAUCAAGACAGUCAUAGGGUCAGUACAGAGUCAUAGAGUAGGUGCUGUGUCAUAUAAUAAGUUCCUCUACACUACACACAUAACAGUUCGGUGGACUUUUUAAAAUUGAAUUUCCCAAUAAGAGGUAAAUGUUAAUGAAAGGGAAGACACUAAAUCUUUAAUUUAGAUUUAUCAUUUAUAACUUUGUUUAUUGAGUUUGCUCAUACAUGAACAUACCUGCUCUGACACUUGAACUGCUCAUCUUUGUGAAAAAGAAAAGGAAAUUAUGUUUGUGCAAUUUGCAGAGCUCAGUAUUAAGCUGCAAGUAUGACAUUGUAGCUUCUCUCUGUUGCUAUGGGCAAGUUACUUGAAUGACUUCAACAGAUUCUUAAACUGAACAGAAAUUGCUUCCCACUCAGUUAUAAUUUUACCAUGCAGAGGCUAGAAAUCGGGAAUAAAUAAUGAAGGAGGUCAUCCAGGUUCACAUUUAAUGCUCUGUGUGGGAUGUAGCUGUUGGAGAGGGGAAACAUAGCCUAGUGGUAGAGAGAUCUUUCUUUACGAUCUGAAAGAAAUUCUGGCAGCUCUGACUUUACUUUCAUGAAAGUAAAUGGGAAAGGAAAACCUGUAUGAAGGAACAAAUAUGGUUGCUAAAAUUGUGCUUUUAAGGUUGUACCUUACAGAAAGAAGUAAACAAUCUCCAAUUUUAAAAAAAGCAUAGAAUGUGGACUAUAGGUUGAUUAGGAAUGUGGCAUUAUUUGCCAUAUAACAUUAUUGAGAUAAAGAUUGAAGAAAUGGAAGGCAUAAGAAAUGUUCUUCCUCAAAACACCGUUUAUGUAAUCCAUAGCUUGAUUUAUUGACAAGAGGUUUGGUGGAUUAAAGAUGGCCACCAUUUCUUUGUAAUGCUUUCCUUUGAGAAGUAGAGUUUAUUUUCCCUCAUCCUGAAUCUAGUCUCAUCCUGUGACUGCUUAAGUAAUAGAUAAUGGCAGAAGUGACACUGUGCCAGUUCUAGGCUUAGCCUUUUAGAGCACUGACUGGCAGAUUUUGCUUCUGUCCUCUGGGAACACUCACUCUUCAAACUCUGCCUUCUAGAGCCCAGCUGCCAUCGGUGAAAAGCCCAAGCCACCUGAGGGUCCAUGUGAGGUGCUGCGGUCAACAUGCCCAGCUGAGCUCCCAGCCUUCAGCCAGCAUCAACCAACAGCCAUGUGAGUGCGUCAUCUUAGAUGUUCCAGCCCAAUAGAGCCACCCAGUAGCUGUGGCCCCAAUGGUGACAGCUCUGGCCUAGAACUACCUGGGCGAUCCCAAUUAACAUGCAGAACGGUGAGGAGUAAUCAAAUGGUUGUUUUAAGCUGUGAAAUUUUGGCUGGUUUGUUAUGUAGCCAAACAUCAAAACAAUCAUCUUGCAUAAUGAUGUGUGUUAAAAGUUAGGUGUCACAGAUGGCAGAAUGAACAGAAAAUUAGUAAAUUUGACCUGUAUCAACGAUUAUGUCUACAAUCUCUCCUCAGAACUUCUCCAGGGGAGUUUUAGCAACUCAAAAGACUGCUUUCAGACCUGAUCCCUUUUCUAGAACUAAAUUUACAUCCCACUGGGUUCUAGGCAAAAAGUGUGUGAAAAAUCUGUAAGUACCUAUAAUUUAUUGAAAGUGCUAUCUUUUCUUUAAACUUCAAGCAUGGAGACAAAGCUUUUACUUAGAAUGUCCUUAGUAAGAGUGUUCGUUUGUUUGUUUUGAAUAAGAUGAAAACAUAAGAAUGUUCAAAAGUUUUUACAUUGAACUUUUAUGAUGUCACUGAUAUAUUUUUAAAAUUAGAUUAAAACAAAACAAAACAAAAGAAAACCACCCCAAAAGACAAUAAACCCAGCAUCCCUAAAAGAAAAAUUUAGGUUCGGUACACUAUGAAUAGAAAUUCCUAUAUGUUGAAUUAAUUUUUGAAUUUGGUUUCUGAGUCUUUUGUAAAUAAUAGGUCAGAAUGAAUUAGUGGAAUAAAAUCGCAUUGGUGAUUUCCUUUUAGAUUAAUGGAUUUUACCUCAGAUCCCAGUGUUGAGUUAAAUGUAAACAUGUGUUUCUGCGGAUUGACAGCACACAUUUUUCAAUACAUACAGUCCACUGAGAAACACAGUGCUCUCAGAGUUCAACCUGUCUUCUGGGAAUGGUUUUGAGGAAACACCUAAUUUUGAGCAAGUUACCAACGCACUCUCCCCUCAAUAUCUGAAUCAGUAAAAAAAAAAAAAAAAAAAAGAAUGAUAACCAUCCCUGCCCAAUUUAUCUGGAAGGACUGUUCUUCAAAAUCAAGUGAUAAUAUAUGAUGAACAUACUUAAGGAGAAGGCUUUUUUUUAAACUAAAAUCAUUUUGUUGUUGUUCUUGAUCAUUUUGCUUCCAGUAAUUUCAUAUUUUUUCUUUCAAUUCUGGAAACUAUUUUAAUACACUUUUCUGAGGUCCAAAGCUGUUCAUGUUUUAGAUUGUGGUGUUUUUGCCUGCUUUGCUUAUAUGGGUCUCUGAAGUUAACUGAUAUUUAACUGGAACAUAAACUGUGGCAGAAAUAUUGGGGAGAGAAGAGAAAAACAAUCAUAUUUAGAGAAAAUAAAAACUAAGGUGACAAAUUCAAGCAUUCAAACUUCUAACAAAAUCUCCUUUCUUUCUAUCUCAUUUCAACCCACCGAGGACCUGUACACACCUUUACUCCGCUGUCUCCGUUUCCUUGUAUGUUUCUCUGGGAACUUUACACAUAGGGGAUUCCAUGGUAAACAUCUAAGACUGGAAUUUCUGGAUAUCCCGUCAGUUCCCUUUUGGCAGUAAUGUGCAACCCAGUGAACAGAAGAAGGGGAAGUUUCCAAUCUGGCCAGAAUGGAGCGAGGCAGACAUAAAUGCUGAAAAGUGGGAUGCAGGCAAAGGUGCAAAAGAAAAG